GCGGGCUUCGCUCCUUGUUGGGGAUUCGGCGGCGGCGGCGGCGCGGGCGCGCGCUUCCUAGUGACGCAGGCGGCGGGGCCGCGCACGCACGGGGCUGGGAGGGCCGGACACUUAUUUGGCGCUCGCGGAGGAGGAAGGCGGGGCCGUGAAAUAAGGCCCGACGGGCCCCGGGGCGCGUGCGCGGACCGACACUGUCAGCUCCUAACGCCGCAGGUUCCUCCUGGUCCCCGAGGCCCCCGGUCGGGCGUUGCCUGCCCCGCGCGGGCGGCCGGGCCGAGGGACGAUGGUCAGUGGACGGACGGCGCCAGGGAGCAGUGCCCACGCGCGGCAGGGCGGUACCUUCAGGCCUCCAGGUGUCAUCGAACACCCUUGUGCUUGCUGUCACCCGCUGCCUGUCUGCAGGAUCCCGGAUUCCGUAUCAGGGGACCGAAAUUAGUCGGAAAAUAGGAAGCAGGUGCUCGCUUGGAUGGAACCCUGACCCUGUGCUCACACUUGUAGGAGGAGGGCUCUGCAGGCCGCCUCCCGGAACGGGAGGUUCCCAAGCCACUGCACUUCGGAGGGGCUGUAAUUAGAGUUGCACAUUCAUUCAGUUCCCAGUAAAGUAGAACGUGCUCCAGCCAGUGAGGAAAAGGUGUUUUUAAAAAUUAGAUUGGCCGAGUGCGGUGGCUCAUGCCUUUUACCUCAACACUUUGGGAGACAAAGGUGGGAGGAUCACCUGUGGCCAGGAGUUCAAGACCAGCCUGGGCAACAGAGCCUGUCUCUGGGGAAGAAUAAAAAAAAAAAUUGAGCCUUUGUCAGUGCUACUAUUUUAUUAUCUGGUAAAUAUGAGAGGGUUCACGCGGUCUAUGUGUGUC
rnacentral:lncRNA from 1 species